GAUGAAGAACGUAGCGAAAUGCGAUAAGUAGUGUGAAUUGCAGAAUUCAGUUAAUCAUCGAAUCUUUGAACGCACAUUGCGCCCCUUGGUAUUCCAUGGGGCAUGCCUGUUCGAGCGUCAUUUGUACCUUCAAGCUUUGCUUGGUGUUGGGUGUUUGUCCAUUCUCUUGCAGAGGGACUCGCCUUAAAGUAAUUGGCAGCCAGUGUUUUGGUUUUGAAGCGCAGCACAAGUCGCGAUUCAACGCUAUACGCCAGCUUCCACAAGCCUUUUUCACUUUUGACCUCGGAUCAGGUAGGGAUACCCGCUGAACUUAAGCAUAUCAAUAAGCGGAGGA
rnacentral:misc_RNA from 1 species